CAGUUAUGGCAACUUCAGUCCUUACGUCGCGGGACGCACGGGCAAGCUCUUCCAAUAACGGGGAACUUCAGACCAAUUCAGCCCUUGCACAAGAGGGCUAUAAGAACUAAUAUUCCUCCUUACACGCUGAAAUGUUCUGCGCUCAACAGAACCAAUCUUUAUCAAGCCGCUGACUACCUUGGCACGUGACGAAAACUGGGCGUGAAACACAUACCCCCGCCCGCGUUAAGCCGCCCACCGCCUCCCGCCCGCAGUGCCCUCGCUUCGCCCAACGCCCCCACCCCCCUCCGCCG